ACUCAAAGGAAUUGACGGGGGCCCGCACAAGCAGUGGAGCAUGUGGUUCAAUUCGAUGCAACGCGAAGAACCUUACCUGGGCUUGACAUGUAAGCUAAGGCUGAUGAAAGUCGGCGUCCCGCAAGGGGAGCUUACACAGGUGCUGCAUGGCUGUCGUCAGCUCGUGCCGUGAGGUGUUGGGUUAAGUCCCGCAACGAGCGCAACCCUUGUCUUUAGUUGCUACCGGAUAAUGCCGGGCACUCUAAAGAGACUGCCUACGCAAGUAGUGAGGAAGGUGGGGAUGACGUCAAGUCCGCAUGGCCCUUACGCCCAGGGCCACACACGUGCUACAAUGGAUACUACAAAGGGCUGCGAGACCGCGAGGUGGAGCCAAUCCCUAAAAAGUAUUCUCAGUUCGGAUCGGAGUCUGAAACUCGACUCCGUGAAGCUGGAAUUGCUAGUAAUCGUGGAUCAGAACGCCACGGUGAAUACGUUCCCGGGCCUUGCACACACCGCCCGU
rnacentral:rRNA from 1 species